rnacentral:misc_RNA from 1 species
AACGCACCUUGCGCUCCCUGGUAUUCCGGGGAGCAUGCCUGUUUGAGUGUCAUGGUAUCCUCAUCCUUCAUAACUUUUUGUUAUCGAAGGCAUGGACUUGGAGGUCGUGCUGGUUCCUCGUUGAAUCGGCUCCUCUUAAAUGUAUUAGCGUGAGUGUAACGGAUCGCUUCGGUGUGAUAAUUAUCUGCGCCGUGGUCGUGAAGGAACAUAAGCUUGCGCUUCUAACCGUCCUUAAGUUGGACAACUUACUUUGACAUCUGACCUCAAAUCAGGUAGGACUACCCGCUGAACUUAA